GAUGAAGAACGCAGCGAAAUGCGAUAAGUAGUGUGAAUUGCAGAAUUCCGUGAAUCAUCGAAUCUUUGAACGCACAUUGCGCCUUCUGGUAUUCCGGAAGGCAUGCCUGUUCGAGAGUCAUUAACAACCGUUUCGAUCCCUUUCUUUCAGAAAUUACAAAGAGGAAAAGGGUUUGGUUAUGGUGGAGGAGGGAAAGGGAGCGUUUAGCCUGUAAAAAAAGAGGCUGUGUUCCGCCUCCCCCCCAAAAUUGUACAGGCGGUCGUGUGCGCCCACGCAUCGAGGGGUUGUAAAAGCUGCCACGGCACUUUUCACCUGUGCAGUGCGAGAUUGGCCAGCCGGUUUAAAAACCCCUCCAAACAAUCAAAGGUUGACCUCGGAUCAGGUAGGGAUACCCGCUGAACUUAAGCAUAUCAAUAAGCGGAGGA
rnacentral:misc_RNA from 1 species